CCUACGGGUGGCUGCAGUGGGGAAUAUUGGACAAUGGGCGAAAGCCUGAUCCAGCCAUGCCGCGUGUGUGAAGAAGGCCUUCGGGUUGUAAAGCACUUUCAGUGGGGAAGAAAGCCUUGGGGCUAAUACCCUCGAGGAAGGACAUCACCCACAGAAGAAGCACCGGCUAACUCCGUGCCAGCAGCCGCGGUAAUACGGAGGGUGCGAGCGUUAAUCGGAAUUACUGGGCGUAAAGCGCGCGUAGGCGGUCUGAUAAGCCGGUUGUGAAAGCCCCGGGCUUAACCUGGGAACGGCAUCCGGAACUGUCAGGCUAGAGUGCAGGAGAGGAAGGUAGAAUUCCCGGUGUAGCGGUGAAAUGCGUAGAGAUCGGGAGGAAUACCAGUGGCGAAGGCGGCCUUCUGGACUGACACUGACGCUGAGGUGCGAAAGCGUGGGUAGCAAACAGGAUUAGAUACCCUGGUAGUC
rnacentral:rRNA from 1 species